UACGUAGGGGGCAAGCGUUGUCCGGAAUUAUUGGGCGUAAAGCGCGUGUAGGCGGCCAGAUAAGUCCGCUGUGAAAUCUCGAGGCUCAACUUCGAGCUGUCGGUGGAAACUGUCUGGCUAGAGUCCGGAAGGGGAGAAUGGAAUUCCUGGUGUAGCGGUGAAAUGCGCAGAUAUCAGGAAGAACACCCGUGGCGAAGGCGGUUCUCUGGGACGGUACUGACGCUGAGACGCGAAAGCGUGGGGAGCGAACAGG
rnacentral:rRNA from 1 species